AGAUUAAGCCAUGCAUGUCUCAGUACAAGCCAAAUUAAGGUGAAACCGCGAAAGGCUCAUUAAAUCAGUUAUGGUUCCUUAGAUCGUACACACACUUACUUGGAUAACUGUGGUAAUUCUAGAGCUAAUACAUGCAAAUAGAACUCCAACCGGAGACGGAAGGAGCGCUUUUAUUAGAUCAAAACCUAUCGGCAACGGUUCGCCGUUGUCGUAUUAUUUGGUGAUUCUGAAUAACUUUUUGCUGAUCGCACGGUCUAGCACCGGCGACGCAUCUUUCAAAUGUCUGCCUUAUCAACUGUCGAUGGUAGGUUCUGCGCCUACCAUGGUUGUAACGGGUAACGGGGAAUCAGGGUUCGAUUCCGGAGAGGGAGCCUGAGAAACGGCUACCACAUCCAAGGAAGGCAGCAGGCGCGCAAAUUACCCACUCCCGGCACGGGGAGGUAGUGACGAAAAAUAACGAUACGGGACUCAUCCGAGGCCCCGUAAUCGGAAUGAGUACACUCUAAACUCUUUAACGAGGAUCAAUUGGAGGGCAAGUCUGGUGCCAGCAGCCGCGGUAAUUCCAGCUCCAAUAGCGUAU
rnacentral:rRNA from 1 species